UUAUACAGCAAAAGAUAACUGGAACAUCUCUUGGAAUCUAUUUUAGUUGAAAAAAUGGCUGUUGGGCUAAAGGCUGUAUUUUCCAGUGUCCACUCUUGCAGAUGCUACUAACCUUGAUAAACAAUGAAACAAUCCUUUGGCAAAUCCUGUCGAGUGAUACAACCUCCAUCUGCUCCCAGGAGAAACAGCAUUUUAGGAGGAUUCUUCCGAAUUGCUUCCACCCCAGGCUUAUAGCCAAGAUCCAAAGCAGCUACUUGGCUUGCAAUCCUGUAAAACAAUUAUGGGAUUUCAGCAUACUUACUGUUUUCAUUAUAAAAAAUUAAAUGUGAUUCUUGAAUAA